rnacentral:rRNA from 1 species
UAUUAACUCUUGCGGCGUGCCUAAUACAUGCAAGUCGAGCGAACAGACGAGGAGCUUGCUCCUCUGACGUUAGCGGCGGACGGGUGAGUAACACGUGGAUAACCUACCUAUAAGACUGGGAUAACUUCGGGAAACCGGAGCUAAUACCGGAUAAUAUAUUGAACCGCAUGGUUCAAUAGUGAAAGACGGUUUUGCUGUCUCUUAUAGAUGGAUCCGCGCCGCAUUAGCUAGUUGGUAAGGUAACGGCUUACCAAGGCAACGAUGCGUAGCCGACCUGAGAGGGUGAUCGGCCACACUGGAACGGGGACACGGUCCAGACUCCUACGGGAGGCAGCAGUAGGGAAUCUUCCGCAAUGGGCGAAAGCCUGACGGAGCAACGCCGCGUGAGUGAUGAAGGUCUUCGGAUCGUAAAACUCUGUUAUUAGGGAAGAACAAAUGUGUAAGUAACUAUGCACGUCUUGACGGUACCUAAUCAGAAAGCCACGGCUAACUACGUG